UUUUCGCAAUGCCCGAAAGGGUGACGAAGCGACGCCGCGUGAGUGAGGAAGGCCUUCGGGUUGUAAAGCUCUGUCAGGAGUUAAGAAAUGUAAGUGUGCUAAUACCACAUUUAUUUGACAAAAGCUCCAAAGGAAGCCACGGCUAACUCUGUGCCAGCAGCCGCGGUAAUACAGAGGUGGCAAGCGUUGUUCGGAAUUAUUGGGCGUAAAGAGCACGUAGGUGGGUUUGUAAGUCAGAUGUGAAAGCCUUCUGUUCAACGGAAGAAUUGCAUCUGAAACUGCGAGUCUUGAGUGUAGGAGGGGAGAAUGGAACUUCUGGUGGAGCGGUGAAAUGCGUAGAUAUCAGAAGGAACGCCGGCGGCGAAGGCGAUUCUCUGGCCUAUUACUGACACUCAGUGUGCGAAAGCUAGGGGAGCAAACGGGAUUAGAUACCCCGGUAGUCCUAGCCGUAAACGAUGGGCACUAAGUAGAGGGGUUUUAAUC
rnacentral:rRNA from 1 species